ACACACCAUCUUUACAAGCAACACCUCAUCCAUCCCCAUCACCGAUAUCGCUGCAUCAACGCAGAGGAGGGACCGGUUCGGAGGACUCCACUACUUCAACCCAGUUCCCAUGAUGAAGCUCCUGGAGGUUGUCAGGACAUCAGAGACAAAUGACGAGACAUUCAACUCAUUGAUGGAGUUUGGCAAGGCCAUGGGCAAGGUCUCGGUACCUUGCAAGGACACAGCUGGAUUCAUUGUGAAUCGUCUCCUGGUGCCCUACAUGUUGGAAGCAGUUCGCCUCGUGGAGAGAGGUAA